AAAUCGAUUGCUACCCACCGAUCCAGCAGGUAGUGAAGACGUACCCUGACUCUGCUGUGUCACUACUGAGUGGGAAGUACCUCUCUCUCCAUUUACAAGGCUUGCCGUGGAGAAAAGGGCCUUGCACCGUCACAGAACAGUUAGUCGGAGGCAGUUUUCUCGCACACUCUCCUGUUGAAGAGCACUGAGAAAGUCUUCCAGUUUGAUAAGAGUGAGAAACUUAGGAUGUACAGAAGAAGCAGGAGAUAAGGCUGUCAGUCAUCGUUAGAGAGCAAUAAGAGUGAUAAAUAAAAAGACCUGCUGAAAUACCAUCUAGCAGAAGAACACCACCAGAAAGAACUAUACUACAAACAAAACAGAAAAGGAGAUUUCUCAAUGAGGAAGCAAAAUUUCAGUCAGAAGGAUGCUUGUGGGAAUCAAAACAGGUC